GACGAACGCUGGCUGCGUGCUUAACACAUGCAAGUCGAACGGUAAGGCUCCAGCUUGCUGGGGUACACGAGUGGCGAACGGGUGAGUAACACGUGGGUGACCUGCCCUGCACUUCGGGAUAAGCCUGGGAAACUGGGUCUAAUACCGGAUAGGACCGCACCGUGAGGGUGUGGUGGAAAGUUUUUUCGGUGUGGGAUGGGCCCGCGGCCUAUCAGCUUGUUGGUGGGGUAAUGGCCUACCAAGGCGGCGACGGGUAGCCGGCCUGAGAGGGUGGACGGCCACAUUGGGACUGAGAUACGGCCCAGACUCCUACGGGAGGCAGCAGUGGGGAAUAUUGCACAAUGGGCGGAAGCCUGAUGCAGCGACGCCGCGUGGGGGAUGACGGCCUUCGGGUUGUAAACUCCUUUCACCAUCGACGAAGGGUUUCUGACGGUAGAUGGAGAAGAAGCACCGGCUAACUACGUGCCAGCAGCCGCGGUAAUACGUAGGGUGCGAGCGUUGUCCGGAAUUACUGGGCGUAAAGAGCUCGUAGGUGGUUUGUCGCGUCGUCUGUGAAAUUCCGGGGCUUAACUCCGGGCGUGCAGGCGAUACGGGCAUAACUUGAGUACUGUAGGGGAGACUGGAAUUCCUGGUGUAGCGGUGAAAUGCGCAGAUAUCAGGAGGAACACCGGUGGCGAAGGCGGGUCUCUGGGCAGUAACUGACGCUGAGGAGCGAAAGCAUGGGGAGCGAACAGGAUUAGAUACCCUGGUAGUCCAUGCCGUAAACGGUGGGCGCUAGGUGUGGGUUUCCUUCCACGGGAUCCGUGCCGUAGCUAACGCAUUAAGCGCCCCGCCUGGGGAGUACGGCCGCAAGGCUAAAACUCAAAGGAAUUGACGGGGGCCCGCACAAGCGGCGGAGCAUGUGGAUUAAUUCGAUGCAACGCGAAGAACCUUACCUGGGCUUGACAUAUACAGGAUCGCGCCAGAGAUGGUGUUUCCCUUGUGGCUUGUAUACAGGUGGUGCAUGGUUGUCGUCAGCUCGUGUCGUGAGAUGUUGGGUUAAGUCCCGCAACGGGCGCAACCCUUGUCUUAUGUUGCCAGCACGUUGUGGUGGGGACUCGUAAGAAACUGCCGGGGUUAACUCGGAGGAAGGUGGGGAUGACGUCAAAUCAUCAUGCCCCUUAUGUCCAGGGCUUCACACAUGCUACAAUGGUCGGUACAGUGGGUUGCCAGUCCGUGAGGGCGAGCUAAUCCCGCAAAGCCGGUCUCAGUUCGGAUCGGGGUCUGCAACUCGACCCCGUGAAGUCGGAGUCGCUAGUAAUCGCAGAUCAGCAACGCUGCGGUGAAUACGUUCCCGGGCCU
rnacentral:rRNA from 1 species